CACGUAGGAUCCGAGCGUUAUCCGAAUUCACUGGGCGUAAAGCGCUUGCAGGCGGCAAGGUAAGUUGGAUGUAAAAUCUCCUGGCUCAACUGGGAGGUGCCGUUCAAGACUGCCUGGCUAGAGGGCGAUAGAGGGAGGUGGAAUUCCCGGUGUAGUGGUGAAAUGCGUAGAUAUCGGGAGGAACACCAGAGGCGAAAGCGGCCUCCUGGAUCGCAACUGACGCUGAGAAGCGAAAGCUAGGGGAGCAAACGGG
rnacentral:rRNA from 1 species